CAAGGAAAUUCAUCGAUUAUAAUUUUUGAUUAUCAGUUUUAGGCUUAACUUAACGAGCCGUGUGUACGGGUGCCGAUUGUAGACGGCGUUCAGUGGCGUCACUCCAGCAGACCGGAUAAGGAAAGAGUUAAGUUCGAUGAAAGUACAGUUUUAAUUUCAUCGAGACUCGAAGGAUUGGUACAAAGUUGUUUGACAUUUCAGACAGUGGAGGCGUCGUUGUAAUGGCAUUUACUCGAGCGAAGAGUAAAACGAAGUAAACUAAGGAAUACGAGCUACUUGAUGCGAGAUGUUAGAAGGCUAGUCUCUGAGUAACCUUACCAUUUUGCCGUGUGUGAGAGAGAUUCCUUUCCUCGAGGUCCAAAGAAUGACGAUAUCUUGAUGUCUCGAGCACUGAGGUCUGUCAACUAUCGCACCAAAGUUAUCACUAUCGACGAUAAGAAGCAACUUUUCUCACGAAACGUGGAAAAAGACUGUUGAAAGUGAUUGAUCCGUUGGGAUUGCUCUGCAGCAGGUUUAUGUUCCACGGAACCAUCCUUCCAGCAUUUAUACGAAACAAUGACGUCAAACGGGAGCACGCUAAUCGUACAGUGACGUAUCACGGCAGGUGAUAAACGACCUGGUAAACUAGAAUGAUCGAUGGGAACUCCGAGCUACGUGCAUCCUCGAGCGUUGCAUCCGGUUGGAGCCUCUUGUUUUCCUCGAGUACCGCGAAAUUACGGUGGGGUUGUUAUUUUCGGAGACCGACAUUCAUUUGUUCUAGUAAAAAGCGCUAAAUUCCAGGAUAUCGUCCAGCGUUUUGCGAUUGGUCACUGGGCGACUUAUCGCGUACGGCGUUCCAUUAGCAGGGACCGUCUUCGUCGUGAAUCACUUUUGCAUUUACGCGGAAGAGGAUCGGUACGCGUUCGAAGGAAUUACGCAACGGGGCCACCGCAGCUACGCGCUUGAACGAUAUUUCUCUUGGAGGCUGUACUUGUUUACGCGCUACACCCAGUCACGCGUCGAAGGAGUCACGCGUAGUUUAACUUGUGACUGGAAAACACGGUGAUUUAACGCGCUCGAGAUCGAGGACUCUGCGGAUGAGCAUACGCGAUGCUACGAUCAAUUUAGCAGAUGACGCGGCCCGCAGAUCUUCGUAAAUUAACUGCUUCUGAAUUACUUUUACAUGGUUGCGAGACUAAAACUGAUUAAUUCGAAAUAUUCUGAUAUC